GACGAACGCUGGCGGCGUGCCUAAUACAUGCAAGUAGAACGCUGAAGGAGGAGCUUGCUUCUCUGGAUGAGUUGCGAACGGGUGAGUAACGCGUAGGUAACCUGCCUGGUAGCGGGGGAUAACUAUUGGAAACGAUAGCUAAUACCGCAUAAGAGUAGAUGUUGCAUGACAUUUGCUUAAAAGGUGCAAUUGCAUCACUACCAGAUGGACCUGCGUUGUAUUAGCUAGUUGGUGGGGUAACGGCUCACCAAGGCGACGAUACAUAGCCGACCUGAGGGGGUGAUCGGCCACACUGGGACUGAGACACGGCCCAGACUCCUACGGGAGGCAGCAGUAGGGAAUCUUCGGCAAUGGACGGAAGUCUGACCGAGCAACGCCGCGGGAGUGAAGAAGGUUUUCGGAUCGUAAAGCUCUGUUGUAAGAGAAGAACGAGUGUGAGAGUGGAAAGUUCACACUGUGACGGUAUCUUACCAGAAAGGGACGGCUAACUACGUG
rnacentral:rRNA from 1 species